UACUCUAUUAAGCGCCUUACUGACAAGUUUCUUUCCAAAACACACAACGACGUUUGACGCAAUUCUAAGGAUAGAAGGAAAUUCGCGUGUUUAAUGCAUAACCCGUUUAUAAGAUUAAACAAAAAACAAAUUGUGAAAAAAAAGACGUCACCGGUCUAAUUGACCUUCAAAAUUUGAUAUAAAAUAACAAACAUUUCUACAAAGUCCAUAGUAAUCCUCUGGAACACACAAACCCCAGUCAAGAUGAAAUUCUUCGCAUUCAUCGCUUUGUUGGUGGCUGCCAUCUCCAUGGCAACUGCACAAGCAUUCCCCCCACAAGCUUUCCCUCCUGGGGGAUUAUACUCUCCACAAUAUAGGGCUGUCCGCCAAGCCCCAGGCUACCACCAUCACCACCACGGCUACGGCCACGGCUACGGUCACGGCUACGGCUACGGAUACUACGGUUAAUUAAAUACUGCCCCAUGGAUCUGAUCGAUGAAACAAGUGCAAUUUUAAUAUAGCUUAAGUUGAAUAUAUACUUUCAUUAAUAACUU